GACGAACGCUGGCGGCGUGCUUAACACAUGCCAGUCGAACGGAAAGGCCCUGCUUUUGUGGGGUGCUCGAGUGGCGAACGGGUGAGUAACACGUGAGUAACCUGCCCUUGACUUUGGGAUAACUUCAGGAAACUGGGGCUAAUACCGGAUAGGAGCUCCUGCUGCAUGGUGGGGGUUGGAAAGUUUCGGCGGUUGGGGAUGGACUCGCGGCUUAUCAGCUUGUUGGUGGGGUAGUGGCUUACCAAGGCUUUGACGGGUAGCCGGCCUGAGAGGGUGACCGGCCACAUUGGGAGUAAGAUACGGCCCAGACUCCUACGGGAGGCAGCAGUGGGGAAUAUUGCACAAUGGGCGGAAGCCUGAUGCAGCAACGCCGCGUGCGGGAUGACGGCCUUCGGGUUGUAAACCGCUUUCGCCUGUGACGAAGCGUGAGUGACGGUAAUGGGUAAAGAAGCACCGGCUAACUACGUG
rnacentral:rRNA from 1 species